UACAGAGGUCUCAAGCGUUGUUCGGAUUCAUUGGGCGUAAAGGGUGCGUAGGCGGCGCGCUAAGUCGGGUGUGAAAUUUCGGAGCUUAACUCCGAAACUGCAUUCGAUACUGGCGUGCUUGAGGACUGGAGAGGAGACUGGAAUUCAUGGUGUAGCAGUGAAAUGCGUAGAGAUCAUGAGGAAGACCAGUGGCGAAGGCGGGUCUCUGGACAGUUCCUGACACUGAGGCACGGAGGCCAGGGGAGCAAACGGG
rnacentral:rRNA from 1 species